UAUUUGUCGGUGGGUCGUGGAAGUGGUGAAUGGCCGUUUCAAACGUGACUUCAAACAGACAGACGGACAAAUAUUUAAAAAAAAUGAUAUGUAACAUUCAUAUGCAUUUAGUAAAAAACAGUUAUUUUAAUAUUACAAACAGACACUCCAAUUUUAUUUAUUUGUAUCGAUUAUAGAAAAGAAGACUAAACUAGUUUUGAAAUUAAUCUUGUUGUAUGAAUACUUAAAAAUAAAAUAUCAAAAAUCCAAGGACAUAGUAUGUAUUAUCUAAAUAUGAUAGGGUGAAAUAAAAGUCAAAAACCAAAUAGUCGAUUUGUUAGAUAUAGGGAGGCGUAUUAUAAUUUAUUGAUGUUUAUUUUUUUCUUAAAUAAAAUAUAAUUUCUUUAUAAAUGUCAUUUAAAACCUAAUAUAUUUAAAACUGUGAUCAAGUAAUUAAAUUAAUUAAAUGAACUGUGAUUAUCACAAAUUACUGUUACUGUAAUUCUGUAUCGUAUAUAAUGUUGUGUUACAAAAAAAAAAAAAACAAAGUUUGUAUUGUUUGUACAAUUUUAAAGUUUGCCCAAUUAAUAUUUGUCAGAUGUAAUAAGUGAAAACUUAAUUGGCUUAUAAAUUUUCUAGUUUAAUAUGUGUAAUUGUUGUUCAUAUGUGUAAUUGCAAGAUGUAUGUUUUCUUCAUAAAUAAAAUAAAAAAUAAAAUAAAUGUCAUAAGUGUCGCUUAAAACUUAUUAUAAUACUAAUCAAUAUGUUUAAAAGUGUCAAUUUUUAUAUUAAAAUAAUUAUUGCUACAUUACAAUAACACAAAGUGUAACUGAAACUUAAAUAAUAAUAAUCAAUAAUAAACAUUUUAGUGUGCCUUAAAAUAUUUUGCAUAAAAACAUCUUCAGUAUAAGUUUUCGUAGUUAAAAUAGGUUUUAAGACUGACUUGAAUUUUUAGUGGACUUUGUAAUAAUAGGUAUCAAUAUAUUACGACUGUUCAUUAAUAAUCUCAAUCCACUUUUUAUCACACUUAAGCUUGUCAUUGGUAAGUUGUUUUUUAUUAUUAUUAAAAUAUAAAACUAUCAGAUACAUUUCCUCAUGUGUAAAUGUAUUAUCACACACAUGAAAGUUUAAUAAAGUUUCGUUAAUCCGAAAAACCUUUUUAACUACGAACACUCAUACUUACAUAGUAAUAGAUACAUCGGAGAAAGACAAAACGUACAACAGACAAGUAGUACAUUUGAUAUUCGGGAUUAAUUAUUGUUAAUGCGAGUUAUUUAAGUGUCCAAAAUCCAAAAAAAAAAAAUAUGCUCGUAUAUAGGUAGUAGUGAAAGAGGAAACAGAAAGUAGGAGGUAAUAAGUAGUGAAUGAUGCUGAAUAACUAGUGAUAUGCCAGACCAUAAAUAGAGGAGUUUAGCGAAUUAACUUACAAAUUCGAUUCAAAUCAUCACUUUUACGUGAUAUAAGGAAAAAAUUACUUUGUAAAUAAUUAAUAAAAAAAGAUAUGUUUAUGUAAAUGUGGAAUGAUUAUUGAAUGUGAAUGAUUUAAUUAGUUAAUCUGUGAAGUGUGAAUGAAAGGAAGAAUGGGUGAAAGAGAUAGCGGAUGUUCGGUCAUGAUAGAUUUGAAUCGAGAGAGGGUUGACGAGCGAGCGGGUACACGGUGAUUUAGGUAUAAUUUUAGUAAAAUAAAUGUGUUAAAGUGAUACUUCGUUUCAUUGCUGGUAUCCUCAAUCCCAAAUAUAUGUCAAAAUUGUAUAAUUGAUUGAUUGAUAAGUGUAUAAUGGGUUACAGUUGUGCCAGCGAAGCACCGUUGUUACCGCCAGUGUAACGAAGUAGAGAAUACACGAAGGAGAUCAACGAAUUUCAUAAUUCCUUAUCGUUUUAAUAUUUCUACGAUGUACAUUGUCAUUAUUUAUUUACAUUGUCAAAAAUUAUAUCAAAGAAUACCAACUAUAAAAGACGAUUUUAAAAAUAAUCUUAUCAGCUAGUGCCUUUUAGGCGAAAUUUUCUAAUACCCGAUUCCAAUAUCCAUAAAACGAUUAGUUUGAUUACGAACGACGGUUCGUUCAACAAAACGGAAUAAUUUUUUGAAUAUAGGAACCAGUAUAUAAUAAAAUAAAAUGUCAAUAAUACUUUGAAGUCAACGUUUAAGCGUCGCACCGUUUGUGUUACACACAGUCAAAUAUUAAUAAAACAAUGCCUAAAAGACAAAAUAAAGAGUUCUAAAAACAUUUUCCAUAGCAGACAGUAAAAAUCAAAUAAAUAUAUGAUAUUUUAAAAAUUCUACAGUAUAUUUUUUUUGUAUAAAAUAUAAUUUAUCUAAUUCAGACUCUAGGUCACCCAAGUUUUAUUUGAAUUUCUGGACAAAGAUUAGUAAUAAUUGACAAAAGUUUUUAGACAAAUCAGAACACCGAGAAGAUACAUUCAGUACUUAAUUGUCUGGAUUUUUUACUUUUCAGAACUAUGCACAAAGAUUUGUCACACAUUAUCUAACAUUUAUAUAACUCUUAUGUACCACACAUUACAAUACAUAUACAUUUUAGAAGGUAUAUCCCACUUGCACCCUAUGUUUUCUACAAUAAUAAUUAAAUUUGGUACAUCAAUAAUUCUAACCCAACAGAUCCAGACUUUUUAACUAUUAACUUAGAGUUACAUACAUUGGUGCCCAAUCUUUCAGCAAUAUUUCGGGCAACUACCGUCGGAUUGCUAUACCAAAAAAACGAUUCGUUUUGGUAAUUUAAUUUAUAAAACGUCUUAUUCGAAAUUUAACGGAUCGUUUGCAAAACGAACAGUUUUCUGAAUAUAUCAAUCCGACUUUAAUUUUUCUUUUUCUUUAGUAGUCUGCUCACAGUGAGGUCGAGGUGACAGACUUUAAUCCACGUACAAGUAUCGUCGGGGAGAGAUCCCUUGUAAACUCGUCUAAUACC
rnacentral:misc_RNA from 1 species